rnacentral:rRNA from 1 species
CAGGCCUAACACAUGCAAGUCGAGCGGAUGAAGGGAGCUUGCUCUCUGAUUCAGCGGCGGACGGGUGAGUAAUGCCUAGGAAUCUGCCUAGUAGUGGGGGACAACGUUUCGAAAGGAACGCUAAUACCGCAUACGUCCUACGGGAGAAAGUGGGGGAUCUUCGGACCUCACGCUAUUAGAUGAGCCUAGGUCGGAUUAGCUAGUUGGUAGGGUAACGGCCUACCAAGGCGACGAUCCGUAACUGGUCUGAGAGGAUGAUCAGUCACACUGGAACUGAGACACGGUCCAGACUCCUACGGGAGGCAGCAGUGGGGAAUAUUGGACAAUGGGCGAAAGCCUGAUCCAGCCAUGCCGCGUGUGUGAAGAAGGCCUUCGGGUCGUAAAGCACUUUAAGUUGGGAGGAAGGGCUCAUAGCGAAUACCUGUGAGUUUUGACGUUACCAACAGAAUAAGCACCGGCUAACUUCGUGCCAGCAGCCGCGGUAAU